GUAGCUGGUUCCCUCCGAAGUUUCCCUCAGGAUAGCUGGUGCAUUUUAAAAUUAUGUUAAAUAAUCUUAUCUGGUAAAGCGAAUGAUUAGAGGCCUUAGGGUCGAAACGACCUUAACCUAUUCUCAAACUUUAAAUGGGUAAGAACCUCACCUUUCUUGAUAUGAAGGUUGAGGUUAUGAUAUAAUGUGCCCAGUGGGCCACUUUUGGUAAGCAGAACUGGCGCUGUGGGAUGAACCAAACGUAAUGUUACGGUGCCUAAAUUAACAACUCAUGCAGAUACCAUGAAAGGCGUUGGUUGCUUAAAACAGCAGGACGGUGGACAUGGAAGUCGUAAUCCGCUAAGGAGUGUGUAACAACUCACCUGCCGAAGCAACUAGCCCUUAAAAUGGAUGGCGCUUAAGUUGUAUACCUAUACAUUACCGCUAAAGUAUAUGAUUUAUAAUACAAUUUCGAUUGUUUUUAUAAAUUUUGAAACUUUAGUGAGUAGGAGGGUACAAUGGUGUGCUUAGAAGUGUUUGGCGUAAGCCUGCAUGGAGCCGCCAUUGGUACAGAUCUUGGUGGUAGUAGCAAAUAAUCGAAUGAGACCUUGGAGGACUGAAGUGGAGAAGGGUUUCGUGUGAACAGUGGUUGAUCACGAGUUAGUCGGUCCUAAGUUCAAGGCGAAAGCCGAAAAUUUUCAAGUUUUAAUGAA
rnacentral:rRNA from 1 species